ensembl:lncRNA
GUAAAACAUACCAAGAUCAAUGUGGAUAUGUGCAGUUGUAGUUGAUACAACAGCGGCAGAGUGCAUGCUGGGUGACCAGAGAUAGGAGUCAGGUUUAGUACAGUGAUGCUUCCUGUCCAGCAUAUCACUCACCACUGACUCCGAGUUACUGAUCAUGUUGUAUGGGCUCGACUGAGUUCUGUACAUGUAAUCUGGUGUGGUCUCCCUGCAUGUGUACACACAAAGACACACACACACACACACACACAGCAUUUCACUUUCAUCUCUUGGCCAUAACUGAUAUCAGUGUGUAACGGUGGUAGUGGUAGUGUUACCAAUUGGAGUUCGGCUCAGUGCUGUUAUACACAUGAUGGUUCAUUGCUUGCAAAAGCUGGCACAUCCACUUCUGUCUGAGAUCCGCUGUUUCUGCAGCCUGUCGGUGAAUACUUCAACUUAAUGAAAUGAUUACUUAAUCUAUGUAAUACAUACUGUACAAUAAAAACCUCACAUUUGAACAUUUACCAAACUUAUUUUUAACAUUUUAAUAUUUACCACACUUGUUAAAAAUAAGUGUGGGUAAAUAUUAAAAUGUUAAAAAUAUUUACCCACACUUAUUUUAAAUAUUUACCCACACUUAUUUUAAUAUUUACCCACACUUAUUUUAAUAUUUACCCACACUUAUUUUAAAUAUUUACCCACACUUGUUAACGUUUUAAUAUUUACCCACACUUAUUUACAUUUUAAUAUUUACCCACACUUAUUUACAUUUUAAUAUUUUAAUAUUUACCCACACUUAUUUACAUUUUAAUAUUUACCCACACUUAUUAACAUUUUAAUAUUUACCCACACUUAUUAACAUUUUAAUAUUUACCCACACUUAACAUUUUAAUAUUUACCCACACUUAUUACAUUUUAAUAUUUACCCACACUUAUUUACAUUUUAAUAUUUACCCACACUUAUUUACAUUUUAAUAUUUACCCACACUUAACAUUUUAAUAUUUACCCACACUUAUUUACAUUUUAAUAUUUACCCACACUUAACAUUUUAAUAUUUACCCACACUUAUUUACAUUUUAAUAUUUACCCACACUUAACAUUUUAAUAUUUACCCACACUUAUUUAUAACUUAUUUGUAACAUUUACCUACAGUAUUUGUCAGGUUUAUGAUACUAAUUUACUGUUGAAGAUAUAUACUUUAGUAAAGCAAUGCAUGAUUCCCAAUUUUGCUCCAAAUAUUUAGCUUAAACGUAAUUAGUUAUCAGUUUACAUUCAGCAGUCCAUACAUCCAGUCCAUACAAGAAGUAGGAGAUCAAACAAAACACAAGUGAUCCCUGUUCCUUGUUCGAAACAACAGUUAGUAACGGUACUUUCCAAAUAACUCAUACAGGAGAACGUGUUUUUAUAGUAGCUGGUAAAUGGCUAUAGACCACAUCCUCAAACAGACACAGAAGAGCAGCAUGGGAACUCACCAGGACUUUCCUCUUCCCGUUUUUCAUAGCGAUCUCAAAAAUAUAGUGUUUUUUCUUAGUCCACAUUAUCUCACGCACAGACUCAACCUGUUAAACACCAACCACAAAAUAGUAACGUCUCACAAAGCCACAGCGAUUAUUUUAUUGUGACUGCUAAAUAAUCAGUUAAUUAUGUUUGUGUGACAUGGAGAAGCCACGACUUACCUCAAUAAGGCAAUACUGUCCUCUAAGGUCUGACUGUCAGAGAGGAAAAAAACCCCAGCACAUUUUAAUGGACUCUCUCACACUAUCUUUAUUCCAUAAGUUCUGACUGUUUAAAAUGAGGUCCAAAAUGAAAUUGACAUGAUCUCCCCUUUUCUCUAAAUGUACAAUGGAUAUAAAAAAAAAGUCUACACACCUCUGCUAAAAUGGCAGGUUUUUUGCGAAGUAAAAGAAUGACACCAAUAUCAAUCAACAUUUCUCACAUUAUAUGUGAAAUUACUAAGUAUUACCAAUAAAGUGGGAAACAAUCAAACUUUUUUUUAAAGGGAAAAAACAGAAAAAUAAAAAAAAAAUGUACAAUCACCAAGUCGCAUGAGUGUGCACACCCUUAAACUAACACUUUGUUGAAGCGCCUUCUGAUUUUAUUGCAUCACUCAGUCUUUUUGGGUAACAGUCUCUCAGUGUGGCACAUCUCGACUUGGCAAUAUUUUCUAACUCUUUCUUACAAAAACAUUCUAGAUCCAUUAAAUUAGUAAGGGCAUCUCCUGUGCAUAGCGCGCUUCAGGUCACUCCACAGAUUUUCAGUUGGAUUCAGGUCUGGGCUCUGGCUAGGUCAUUCAGAUGAACUCCGAUUGGAUGCUUAUCAACUUUCUUUGACUUAAUUCUGACAAGACAGAAGUACUUCUACUAGGACCACGUGUAGCUAGAAGUAAGCUCUUAUUACAUAGUAACUCUGGAUGUAAAAGACCAUGGCGUGAUUAUUGACUCCAGUCUUUCAGUUGACGCUCAUGUAGAUAAUAUUACUAGGAUAGCCUUCUUUCAUUUCUUUCAGAAAUAUUGCCAAGAUAAGAAAUAUGUCGUCACUACACGAUGCAGAAAAAUUAGUUCAUGCUUUCAUCACCUCUAGUGUGGAUUACUG